rnacentral:misc_RNA from 1 species
AUUCAUAACCUUUAGUUGAAACAUACAUCACAGCAAAAGCGACAAAAAGAUAAUGAUGAUUGGAUUUUAAUGAUUUCUUCUUAUUUUAGAAGCUAACAUAUCCCAAUCAAAUCCAAAUCAAAUUGGUACAGAAGUCUUAGCUGGUCCACUAAUUUAGUUAAUUGGUGAUAAAAGGUGCAGGAGAUGAGGGAGAAAAUUUUGAAACUAAUUAUGCCUUCCGAGAUUAAACUCAAAUGGCCACUCUUAGGAUUCAUGCAAGAAAAACCUUGUUGGAAUAAAUGGUCACAUGGAGGAUGUGACCCACAUGAAAGAAAAAGCCUACUAUUCUCAAUGUAUGCUUUUCUUGAAAUUUCCAUCUCUUCAAUACUAUUCCCACCUCAUUUCA